rnacentral:rRNA from 1 species
AACGAACGCUGGCGGCAUGCCUAACACAUGCAAGUCGAACGAGACCUUCGGGUCUAGUGGCGCACGGGUGCGUAACGCGUGGGAACCUGCCCUUAGGCUCGGAAUAACUCCCCGAAAGGGGUGCUAAUACCGGAUAAUGUCUUCGGACCAAAGAUUUAUCGCCUUUGGAUGGGCCCGCGUUGGAUUAGCUAGUUGGUAGGGUAAAAGCCUACCAAGGCGACGAUCCAUAGCUGGUCUGAGAGGAUGAUCAGCCACACUGGGACUGAGACACGGCCCAGACUCCUACGGGAGGCAGCAGUGGGGAAUAUUGGACAAUGGGCGAAAGCCUGAUCCAGCAAUGCCGCGUGAGUGAUGAAGGCCUUAGGGUUGUAAAGCUCUUUUACCCGGGAUGAUAAUGACAGUACCGGGAGAAUAAGCGCCGGUUAACUCCGUG